UACAGAGGGUGCGAGCGUUAAUCGGAAUUACUGGGCGUAAAGCGUGCGUAGACGGUCAAGUAAGUCGGGUGUGAAAGCCCCGGGCUCAACCUGGGAAUUGCAUUCGAGACUGCGUGGCUAGGGUGCGGAAGAGGGAAGCGGAAUUUCCGGUGUAGCGGUGAAAUGCGUAGAUAUCGGAAGGAACACCUGUGGCGAAAGCGGCUCACUGGACCACAACUGACGCUGAGGCGCGAAAGCUAGGGGAGCAAACAGGG
rnacentral:rRNA from 1 species